rnacentral:rRNA from 1 species
GAUGAACGCUGGCGGCGUGCCUAAUACAUGCAAGUCGAGCGAACGGACGAGAAGCUUGCUUCUCUGAUGUUAGCGGCGGACGGGUGAGUAACACGUGGAUAACCUACCUAUAAGACUGGGAUAACUUCGGGAAACCGUAGCUAAUACCGGAUAAUAUUUUGAACCGCAUUGUUCAAAAGUGAAAGACGGUCUUGCUGUCACUUAUAGAUGGAUCCGCGCUGCAUUAGCUAGUUGGUAAGGUAACGGCUUACCAAGGCAACGAUGCAUAGCCGACCUGAGAGGGUGAUCGGCCACACUGGAACUGAGACACGGUCCAGACUCCUACGGGAGGCAGCAGUAGGGAAUCUUCCGCAAUGGGCGAAAGCCUGACGGAGCAACGCCGCGUGAGUGAUGAAGGUCUUCGGAUCGUAAAACUCUGUUAUUAGGGAAGAACAUAUGUGUAAGUACCUGUGCACAUCUUGACGGUACCUAAUCAGAAAGCCACGGCUAACUACGUG